GUGAAUCAUCAAAUUUUUGAACGCAAAUUGCACUCUCCGGUUUUCCGGGAGAGUAUGCCUUUUUAAGGGUCAGCCUAAAAAAAAUCGUCAUUUUUGCUUGUUUAUUUUUACUUUCUUCGGAGAUGGAUUAUCUUAAAUCUCGUUUUAAGCGACUUAAAAAUUUUUUUACGAUUCUACAUUUUUUUCUAAGAUUUUUCUUGUACGUUUAAGGUAUCGACUGUCUUAUUAGACGUGGCCGUCAUAUCGGAUCGUGUCAAUAAUUUUUUUCGUUAACUGACCUCAGACAGGUAAGA
rnacentral:misc_RNA from 1 species